UGAAUCUGCUACAUUGUGAGUAUUCCAUU
rnacentral:sRNA from 1 species